rnacentral:rRNA from 1 species
GAUGAACGCUGGCGGCGUGCCUAAUACAUGCAAGUCGAGCGCCCCGCAAGGGGAGCGGCAGACGGGUGAGUAACACGUGGGAAUCUACCCAUCCCUACGGAACAACUCCGGGAAACUGGAGCUAAUACCGUAUACGCCCUUCGGGGGAAAGAUUUAUCGGGGAUGGAUGAGCCCGCGUUGGAUUAGCUAGUUGGUGGGGUAAAGGCCUACCAAGGCGACGAUCCAUAGCUGGUCUGAGAGGAUGAUCAGCCACAUUGGGACUGAGACACGGCCCAAACUCCUACGGGAGGCAGCAGUGGGGAAUAUUGGACAAUGGGCGCAAGCCUGAUCCAGCCAUGCCGCGUGAGUGAUGAAGGCCUUAGGGUUGUAAAGCUCUUUCACCGAUGAAGAUAAUGACGGUAGUCGGAGAAGAAGCCCCGGCUAACUUCGUGCCAGCCGCCGCGGUAA